rnacentral:rRNA from 1 species
GAUGAACGCUGGCGGCGUGCCUAAUACAUGCAAGUCGAGCGAACGGACGAGAAGCUUGCUUCUCUGAUGUUAGCGGCGGACGGGUGAGUAACACGUGGAUAACCUACCUAUAAGACUGGGAUAACUUCGGGAAACCGGAGCUAAUACCGGAUGAUAUUUUGAACCGCAUGGUUCAACAGUGAAAGACGGUCUUGCUGUCACUUAGAGAUGGAUCCGCGCUGCAUUAGCUAGUUGGUAAGGUAACGGCUUACCAAGGCAACGAUGCAUAGCCGACCUGAGAGGGUGAUCAGCCACACUGGAACUGAGACACGGUCCAGACUCCUACGGGAGGCAGCAGUAGGGAAUCUUCCGCAAUGGGCGAAAGCCUGACGGAGCAACGCCGCGUGAGUGAUGAAGGUCUUCGGAUCGUAAAACUCUGUUAGUAGGGAAGAACAUAUGUGUGAGUAACUGUGCACAUCUUGACGGUACCUAAUCAGAAAGCAACGGCUAACUACGUG